rnacentral:lncRNA from 1 species
CAAGCCCAGCACUGAUACCGGGAAGAUCAGCUCUUGAGAAAUAGCACUGACUACUGUUUGCAAGGGCAAGAACAGGGCAGCUGGCCCACAGCAAACUCCACCAGCAUGUAGAAGAGGGACCACAGGUCAUCAUGGCGGCCCAUCUCCUGGGAGGGAUUUUGAGCGGGAGGAGAGGUGAUGGAAGCCCAGAAGGAAAGGGCAUCAGAGACAGCUACUAGUAAGCCUUUCUCCAACUCCAGGCUUCCCCAGCGACAGAUUGCAGCUGAUGCUCCGUUCUUUUCUUCCCACCCCCUACCCCCGACAUCCACAGCGUGCUCUAGGACCGACCUUUUCUUUCUGCCCUUAGCUCAGGCUGUGUUUGCUGCUCACUCACCCGGUUCUUGUGAGCAUUGACCGAGGCGUAGCGGACAGUCCCCCGGAACCCGGCCACAUUCCGAGGCUGCAGACAAGAGACCGCACCUCAGCCACUCUGCUGACCCUACCACCACCCGGCCUAACGGGCCACCUCAUCCUGAUAUCCAGGAGCCCAGACAGGAGAGUGGGCCAGGCUGUCACCCCAGGGUUGGAUGAACUAAUACUGAAGGA